AGUGAACGCUGGCGGUAGGCCUAACACAUGCAAGUCGAACGGCAGCACAGUAAGAGCUUGCUCUUACGGGUGGCGAGUGGCGGACGGGUGAGGAAUACAUCGGAAUCUACUUUUUCGUGGGGGAUAACGUAGGGAAACUUACGCUAAUACCGCAUACGACCUACGGGUGAAAGCAGGGGAUCUUCGGACCUUGCGCGAUUGAAUGAGCCGAUGUCGGAUUAGCUCGUUGGCGGGGUAAAGGCCCACCAAGGCGACGAUCCGUAGCUGGUCCGAGAGGAUGGACAGCCACACUGGAACUGAGACACGGCCCAGACUCCUACGGGAGGCAGCAGUGGGGAAUAUUGGACAAUGGGCGCGAGCCUGAUCCAGCCAUACCGCGUGGGUGAAGAAGGCCUUCGGGUUGUAAAGCCAUUUUGUUGGGAAAGAAAAGCAGCAGGUUAAUACCCCGCUGUUCUGACGGUACCCAAAGAAUAAGCACCGGCUAACUUCGUG
rnacentral:rRNA from 1 species